GACGAACGCUGGCGGCGUGCUUAACACAUGCAAGUCGAACGGGAAGGCCCUGCUUUUGUGGGGUGCUCGAGUGGCGAACGGGUGAGUAACACGUGAGUAACCUGCCCUUGACUUUGGGAUAACUUCAGGAAACUGGGGCUAAUACCGGAUAGGAGCUCCUGCUGCAUGGUGGGGGUUGGAAAGUUUCGGCGGUUGGGGAUGGACUCGCGGCUUAUCAGCUUGUUGGUGGGGUAGUGGCUUACCAAGGCUUUGACGGGUAGCCGGCCUGAGAGGGUGACCGGCCACAUUGGGACUGAGAUACGGCCCAGACUCCUACGGGAGGCAGCAGUGGGGAAUAUUGCACAAUGGGCGGAAGCCUGAUGCAGCAACGCCGCGUGCGGGAUGACGGCCUUCGGGUUGUAAACCGCUUUCGCCUGUGACGAAGCGUGAGUGACGGUAAUGGGUAAAGAAGCACCGGCUAACUCCGUG
rnacentral:rRNA from 1 species